rnacentral:rRNA from 1 species
CCUUAGUACGAGAGGACCGGGUCGGACGCACCGCCGGUGCAUCAGUUGUACUGCCAAGUGCAUAGCUGAGUGGCCGCGUGCGGGAGUGAUAAACGCUGAAAGCAUCUAAGCGUGAAACAUACCUCAAGAUAAGAUAUCCAUGGCAGCAAUGCCGGAAGGUCACUUGAAGACGACGAGUUUGAUAGGUCGGGAGUGUAAGUGCAGCAAUGCAUUGAGCUGACCGAUACUAAUAGACCGACAGCUUGAACUGU